rnacentral:rRNA from 1 species
GAGUAACGCGUAAGUAAUCUACCCUGGUAUCUGGGAUAACCCACCGAAAGGUGUGCUAAUACCGGAUACGCUGAUUUAUCAGGAAAGGUGGCCUCUUCAUGAAAGCUACUGUACCAGGAGGAGCUUGCGUACCAUUAGCUAGUUGGUAGGGUAAUGGCCUACCAAGGCAACGAUGGUUAGCGGGUCUGAGAGGAUGAUCCGCCACACUGGAACUGGAACACGGACCAG